GCGAAUGUAGUUCAAUGGUAGAAUGUCAGCCUUCCAAGCUGAUUAUGCGGGUUCGAUUCCCGUCAUUCGCU
rnacentral:tRNA from 1 species